AUUGAACGCUGGCGGCAGGCUUAACACAUGCAAGUCGAGCGAGCGGCGGACGGGUGAGUAAUGUCUGGGAAACUGCCUGAUGGAGGGGGAUAACUACUGGAAACGGUAGCUAAUACCGCAUACCAUCAGAUGUGCCCAGAGGGGAUUAGCUAGUAGGUGGGGUAAUGGCUCACCUAGGCGACGAUCCCCAGCUGGUCUGAGAGGUGAACCAGCAACACGGGAACUGAGACACGGUCCAGACUCCUACGGGAGGCAGCAGUGGGGAAUAUUGCACAAUGGGCGCAAGCCUGAUGCAGCCAUGCCGCGGGUGUGAAGAAGGCCUGCGGGUUGUAAAGCACUUUCAGCGAGGAGGCGUUACUCGCAGAAGAAGCACCGGCUAACUCCGUGCCAGCCGCCGCGGUAAUAC
rnacentral:rRNA from 1 species